rnacentral:misc_RNA from 1 species
GUGAAGCGGCCGGGUACGCCCGCGCCCGCUCCCAAAACCGUGUCUUCUAGCCCGUUGCUUCGGCGGGACGCCGGGCUCAGUCCCGGCGGCCGCGGCCCGUCCGAGUGCCCCCAGAAUCAGUGUCACCCGCAGUCAGAUGAGAGCGAGAAACGAACAAAACUUUCAACAACGGAUCUCUUGGUUCC